CUCAGGACGAACGCUGGCGGCGUGCCUAAUACAUGCAAGUCGAGCGGACAGAAGGGAGCUUGCUCCCGGAUGUUAGCGGCGGACGGGUGAGUAACACGUGGGUAACCUGCCUGUAAGACUGGGAUAACUCCGGGAAACCGGAGCUAAUACCGGAUAGUUCCUUGAACCGCAUGGUUCAAGGAUGAAAGACGGUUUCGGCUGUCACUUACAGAUGGACCCGCGGCGCAUUAGCUAGUUGGUGAGGUAACGGCUCACCAAGGCGACGAUGCGUAGCCGACCUGAGAGGGUGAUCGGCCACACUGGGACUGAGACACGGCCCAGACUCCUACGGGAGGCAGCAGUAGGGAAUCUUCCGCAAUGGACGAAAGUCUGACGGAGCAACGCCGCGUGAGUGAUGAAGGUUUUCGGAUCGUAAAGCUCUGUUGUUAGGGAAGAACAAGUGCAAGAGUAACUGCUUGCACCUUGACGGUACCUAACCAGAAAGCCACGGCUAACUACGUGCCAGCAGCCGCGGUAAUACGUAGGUGGCAAGCGUUGUCCGGAAUUAUUGGGCGUAAAGGGCUCGCAGGCGGUUUCUUAAGUCUGAUGUGAAAGCCCCCGGCUCAACCGGGGAGGGUCAUUGGAAACUGGGAAACUUGAGUGCAGAAGAGGAGAGUGGAAUUCCACGUGUAGCGGUGAAAUGCGUAGAGAUGUGGAGGAACACCAGUGGCGAAGGCGACUCUCUGGUCUGUAACUGACGCUGAGGAGCGAAAGCGUGGGGAGCGAACAGGAUUAGAUACCCUGGUAGUCCACGCCGUAAACGAUGAGUGCUAAGUGUUAGGGGGUUUCCGCCCCUUAGUGCUGCAGCUAACGCAUUAAGCACUCCGCCUGGGGAGUACGGUCGCAAGACUGAAACUCAAAGGAAUUGACGGGGGCCCGCACAAGCGGUGGAGCAUGUGGUUUAAUUCGAAGCAACGCGAAGAACCUUACCAGGUCUUGACAUCCUCUGACAACCCUAGAGAUAGGGCUUUCCCUUCGGGGACAGAGUGACAGGUGGUGCAUGGUUGUCGUCAGCUCGUGUCGUGAGAUGUUGGGUUAAGUCCCGCAACGAGCGCAACCCUUGAUCUUAGUUGCCAGCAUUCAGUUGGGCACUCUAAGGUGACUGCCGGUGACAAACCGGAGGAAGGUGGGGAUGACGUCAAAUCAUCAUGCCCCUUAUGACCUGGGCUACACACGUGCUACAAUGGACAGAACAAAGGGCUGCGAGACCGCAAGGUUUAGCCAAUCCCACAAAUCUGUUCUCAGUUCGGAUCGCAGUCUGCAACUCGACUGCGUGAAGCUGGAAUCGCUAGUAAUCGCGGAUCAGCAUGCCGCGGU
rnacentral:rRNA from 1 species